AAGUCGUAACAAGGUUUCCUUCCAGUUACAAAACUUACUGAAGCCUGGCACUGCGACUCAAAAUAACAGUGCAGUCCUGACGAAUCUGUCGGGGCAACGCCUCCAUAAUGCUGGAAGUUUCCAAUAUUGGAUACCAGCAGCCAUACUUUUGUUAUGGCCCACAGAUCAAAUUGGGGCGGUUAAAAAUCUAUCUUAACGAAGAUAUGACCGAGUCUUGCCUUGGAAAAGGCUGAGAAUCGACGUUCCGUAGGUGAACCUGCGGAAGGAUCAUUACUGAGAUAGGGUUCUUUUGAGCCCGACCUCCAACCCUUUUGUUUAAACUACUUUGUUGCUUUGGCAGGCCCGCUCUUCGGGGCCGCUGGAGGCGUUCAGUCGCCUCUGGUCAGUGCUUGCCAGUAGCCAAUUUUAAAUUCUAUUUAACCAUGUCGUCUGAACAAUAAUUAUAAUUAAUUAAA
rnacentral:misc_RNA from 1 species